rnacentral:rRNA from 1 species
CUAGUCUUAUCGGUGGAUCACUCGGCUCGUAGGUCGAUGAAAAACGCAGCUACUGGGAUAAAUAGGUGAACUGCAGAACCCUGAACACAAAAGCUUCGAAUGCACAUUGCACCAUGGAUUUUAUUCCUUGGUAUGCCUGGUUCAGGGUCAUA